AUUGAACGCUGGCGGCAGGCCUAACACAUGCAAGUCGAACGAGUGGCGGACGGGUGAGUAAUGUCUGGGAAACUGCCCGAUGGAGGGGGCUAACUACUGGAAACGGUAGCUAAUACCGCAUACCAUCGGAUGUGCCCAGAUGGGAUUAGCUAGUAGGUGGGGUAACGGCUCACCUAGGCGACGAUCCCUAGCUGGUCUGAGAGGAUGACCAGCCACACUGGAACUGAGACACGGUCCAGACUCCUACGUGAGGCAGCAGUGGGGAAUAUUGCGCAAUGGGCGAAAGCCUGAUGCAGCCAUGCCGCGUGUAUGAAGAAGGCCUUCGGGUUGUAAAGUACUUUCAGUGAGGAGGCGUUACUCGCACAAGAAGCACCGGCUAACUCCGUGCCAGCAGCCGCGGUAAUAC
rnacentral:rRNA from 1 species